GACGAACGCUGGCGGCGUGCUUAACACAUGCAAGUCGAACGGAAAGGCCCUGCUUUUGUGGGGUGCUCGAGUGGCGAACGGGUGAGUAACACGUGAGUAACCUGCCCUUGACUUUGGGAUAACUUCAGGAAACUGGGGCUAAUACCGGAUAGGAGCUCCUGCUGCAUGGUGGGGGUUGGAAAGUUUCGGCGGUUGGGGAUGGACUCGCGGCUUAUCAGCUUGUUGGUGGGGUAGUGGCUUACCAAGGCUUUGACGGGUAGCCGGCCUGAGAGGGUGACCGGCCGCAUUGGGACUGAGAUACGGCCCAGACUCCUACGGGAGGCAGCAGUGGGGAAUAUCGCACAAUGGGCGGAAGCCUGAUGCAGCAACGCCGCGUGCGGGAUGACGGCCUUCGGGUUGUAAACCGCUUUCGCCUGUGACGAAGCGUGAGUGACGGUAAUGGGUAAAGAAGCACCGGCUAACUACGUG
rnacentral:rRNA from 1 species